GCACUGCUGAGGAGUCCCAUACCCCAGGACGAAACGGCCGUCCAGUGC
rnacentral:hammerhead_ribozyme from 1 species